rnacentral:tRNA from 1 species
GACUAAGGAAGUAAGAUGGUCAAAAGUGAGCUGCUAACUUAUCUUUUUAGCGGUUAAAUUCCGUUGUUAUUUC